rnacentral:piRNA from 1 species
UCUGCCGUGAAGCAGUGGUGUAUUUCGG